rnacentral:rRNA from 1 species
CCUACGGGAGGCAGCAGUGAGGAAUAUUGGUCAAUGGACGAGAGUCUGAACCAGCCAAGUAGCGUGAAGGAUGACUGCCCUAUGGGUUGUAAACUUCUUUUAUAAAGGAAUAAAACGAGGCACGUGUGCCUUUUUGCAUGUACUUUAUGAAUAAGGAUCGGCUAACUCCGUGCCAGCAGCCGCGGUAAUACGGAGGAUCCGAGCGUUAUCCGGAUUUAUUGGGUUUAAAGGGAGCGUAGAUGGGUUGUUAAGUCAGUUGUGAAAGUUUGCGGCUCAACCGUAAAAUUGCAAUUGAUACUGGCAGUCUUGAGUACAGUUGAGGUAGGCGGAAUUCGUGGUGUAGCGGUGGAAUGCUUAGAUAUCACGAAGAACCCCGAUUGCGAAGGCAGCUUACUAAACUGUGACUGACAUUGAUGCUCGAAAGUGUGGGUAUCAAACAGGAUUAGAUACCCGGGGUAGUC